ACCGUCGAAAUGUUUACCUUGAAACGACCUUGUGUGUCUUAGUAUGUUUAAUUGUGUUUUUUGAGUCCAUUUUAAAUGAUAUUUAUGCGAUAGGUACUAAAAUUAUAUAAGACCAUAUUCAGGCUGUAAAAAUGCGAUAAAACAUCCCCGAGGAACAACAAAGAGUCCUUGAUGAAGGAACCUUCUCAAGAGCAUAAGGCUGUCUAGACAAACCCCAAAAGAUGGAGGCAAUCGAAAGCCAGUUUGAUGGUCGAAUGCAUGUUAAUGGUGGUCAUGGUUCAAUACUUUUCCUAAGGAUUAUAUUCUCCAAAAAUUCAGCCUCUUUCCCAAUCGACAUGGAUCCUGGACAGUCCGUUUGUGAACUUACGCCCCGUUGAUGGGCAGUCAUAUGUUGGGUCUCUAACCUGCGCAUCUUACUGUUAAAUGUAUGAGGUGAAGUGGAAAUUUCAUGCCACGUUCAAAUAAAUGUUUGAGCGGUUUCCUAAGGGAAUUCUAGGUUUAGGUGGAAGGUGAGAAGGUGUCUUGAAGGAAAGCGUGGAUUCUAGUUAUCGUUCUAGAAAAGUUUGAAAUACGUCCUCAUUUUACUCGAGACAUUAGAUUUCUUUCGAUUCUUGUUUCGAAAGAUUGUAAUAGACUUAUCAGAACUAUAUUUUGAUGUAUGGACCGCGGCCCAAGUAUUAUUGUGUCUAAGGAUUGAUGAUA